UGGGCUCCAGGUUGAACACAUUUAACAUUUAAAGAAAGCUCAUAGGCUUAGAGCUGAAUGCCCAAUCAAUAGGCCCGUGUAAAAUAAUGAAAGGACAAACCUAAAGGAAGGUAAAAAAGCAAAAAAUUAACUUGAUCAUAUGGUACUUAUGGAUUGCUGGAGAGAAGGUGCGAUGUAAUGCCAAAAGUCGCUUUAACUGUCUCUGAUAAGUAGCGGAAGUAAAAUGCUCAAGUUGCUUAUUUAAAUACUACAUUUAACAAUAUAUGGAUCAAAUAUUAUUGCAUAUCAGGACGGACUGUUCCUCAUGAUUUAACACACACUAAUUACCUAUUGCUCCAUGAGUAUCAACCUUGAUUGAGAGGCGCUCCUUCAAUAUGAUUAGGUGGAGUUCCUAUUGUUUACGCUUUAUCGAUUUGAAGCGUUGAAAAAUUUUAUUAUGUGAUGAAUUCAUUGCUGGUGUCCACGCACAUUUCUUUGCACGGUUUGUUUAUUGAAUUUAAAAAUAGGCGAUUGUUUACUUUCAAUGGCAACUGAAUAUUUAACACAUUCUUUCGAAGGAUUCUUAUUAGCAUAAUCUGCAUAACUGAUGGUAGAUCGUGAAAUAACACAGCUAUUUAUAUUUUUAGUAGCAGUACUUUUCACCAACACUUGCAAACGCAUCAAUUGACUUGUUAAACUAUUGAAAAACUGGAAAUAGAAGUAAUGGAAAUAAAACGGCUGUUG